rnacentral:lncRNA from 1 species
GGCAAAAUACAUUGAAAGAAUACAUGGAGAAAAAACUGAAAUCCAGCUUGCACUCUCCCAUUGUUCACUUGGGAGAGCAUACACUGUGGAGCCCGGCGGUCGGGUGAGUUCCCGAUCCGCCGAGCGAGCAGGGAAGGCGGCCGUCAGGUAUCUCGCGAGCCGCGAGAUCCAAGAUGGCCGCCGCCCACAUGUGAAGGUGCGCCGCGGAUCGCGGUCGCGCGGUGCAAAACAAAGGGG